CUUGUUUCAGCAGCAGGGAUGGUCCAGCAACAAGCAAAUCUAGUGCAUAAUUUGGGAGGAACUCCCAGUGCAAGUGCUGCUCCAACUGAGAUCGAAGAGACUCAAUAAUAACAAGUUCUGGGAAAGCUCUUCCAUCUUCAUCCAUGAAAAUAUUCUGCAAGUCCUGAUGGAUGAUGCUGACAUUGCAAGUCCUGUAGCUUGUUUGGUUUCUGAAUCAUUCGAGAUAAUCGUUAUCCUGGUGUGCUGGUGUUGUGGUCGAAAAUUCAAUCUAUCACUCUCUUGUGUCCUUAUUUUAGAAAAAUUCAGAAUUUCCUAGUGGUAUUCGGUAAUGAUCUGAUCGAGACAUAGAUUGACUGCCAUUUGGCUCUGAUAUUUAUUGGCACGUCAUUAAGCAUCGGAACUGAAGAAAAGAAAAAUGCCUGCCAGUGGGCCAAGUUGACAUCUUGACAGGAUUUAUGCUACUCCUGUAAUAAGGGUGUAAAUGUGCCAGCACCCCAUUCAUCUUU